GGAUUGGUUAGACAGUGCUGAACGCUCAACGGCAGAGUAAUGACCUAACAUUAUCACAAGAUGUCGCAGUCUACAAAGUUAAAAGUUAAAGCUCGGCACAAAGUCAGGGAGAAAGUCAGUUCUUCAUCAUGUUAAAAGGGAUAUUGUUCUCCAUAUCAAACCACCCCAAACCACUUCUGCGAGUGAAGGUCCUGUAUUGAGUCUGCGGCAACAAAGACCCUCAUUCUACCUGACACUGGAGACGUUAUCCUGGCUAAAGCGAGGUCUGUGUCCUGGGACGGAGUGAUGCCAGCCAGUAAGAGAUGAUCCAAGUGUCCUGGCAUAGUCUAGGUGCUGUUGCGAGCGCAGAUGAAACGCACCAGGCUGAAUCACACCAGAACCAAAUCGCUUUUGCUCGGUCAGUGCAAAACAGGUACGGAACGUUUAAAGAGGAUUAUCCCAGUGAAAAUUAAGGUUUUUGUAUCUCCAUUUUCUGCGGCAAUUUCUUCAGCUGGUCUUCUGCUCAUCCUUCAUCUUUAUGAAGUCUUCACAUUUGCCAUAAAACUGUACAAUAUUCACUCACUCCUUAUUAACUGAAAAGCUCUCUCUAUCAAUCUUUUGCAAUCUGAUCUAGUUGGACUGCUCUCUCUUUCUCUCUCUCUCUCUCUCUCUCUCUCACUCUCACACUC